rnacentral:rRNA from 1 species
GAUGAACGCUGGCGGCGUGCCUAAUACAUGCAAGUCGAACGAGUUCUUGUUGAUGAUCGGUGCUUGCACCAAGAUUCAACAUGGAACGAGUGGCGGACGGGUGAGUAACACGUGGGUAACCUGCCCUUAAGUGGGGGAUAACAUUUGGAAACAGAUGCUAAUACCGCAUAGAUCCAAGAACCGCAUGGUUCUUGGCUGAAAGAUGGCGUAAGCUAUCGCUUUUGGAUGGACCCGCGGCGUAUUAGCUAGUUGGUGAGGUAAUGGCUCACCAAGGCGAUGAUACGUAGCCGAACUGAGAGGUUGAUCGGCCACAUUGGGACUGAGACACGGCCCAAACUCCUACGGGAGGCAGCAGUAGGGAAUCUUCCACAAUGGACGCAAGUCUGAUGGAGCAACGCCGCGUGAGUGAAGAAGGCUUUCGGGUCGUAAAACUCUGUUGUUGGAGAAGAAUGGUCGGCAGAGUAACUGUUGUCGGCGUGACGGUAUCCAACCAGAAAGCCACGGCUAACUACGUGCCAGCAGCCGCGGUAAUACGUAGGUGGCAAGCGUUAUCCGGAUUUAUUGGGCGUAAAGCGAGCGCAGGCGGUUUUUUAAGUCUGAUGUGAAAGCCCUCGGCUUAACCGAGGAAGCGCAUCGGAAACUGGGAAACUUGAGUGCAGAAGAGGACAGUGGAACUCCAUGUGUAGCGGUGAAAUGCGUAGAUAUAUGGAAGAACACCAGUGGCGAAGGCGGCUGUCUGGUCUGUAACUGACGCUGAGGCUCGAAAGCAUGGGUAGCGAACAGGAUUAGAUACCCUGGUAGUCCAUGCCGUAAACGAUGAAUGCUAGGUGUUGGAGGGUUUCCGCCCUUCAGUGCCGCAGCUAACGCAUUAAGCAUUCCGCCUGGGGAGUACGACCGCAAGGUUGAAACUCAAAGGAAUUGACGGGGGCCCGCACAAGCGGUGGAGCAUGUGGUUUAAUUCGAAGCAACGCGAAGAACCUUACCAGGUCUUGACAUCUUUUGAUCACCUGAGAGAUCAGGUUUCCCCUUCGGGGGCAAAAUGACAGGUGGUGCAUGGUUGUCGUCAGCUCGUGUCGUGAGAUGUUGGGUUAAGUCCCGCAACGAGCGCAACCCUUAUGACUAGUUGCCAGCAUUUAGUUGGGCACUCUAGUAAGACUGCCGGUGACAAACCGGAGGAAGGUGGGGAUGACGUCAAAUCAUCAUGCCCCUUAUGACCUGGGCUACACACGUGCUACAAUGGAUGGUACAACGAGUUGCGAGACCGCGAGGUCAAGCUAAUCUCUUAAAGCCAUUCUCAGUUCGGACUGUAGGCUGCAACUCGCCUACACGAAGUCGGAAUCGCUAGUAAUCGCGGAUCAGCACGCCGCGGUGAAUACGUUCCCGGGCCUUGUACACACCGCCCGUCACACCAUGAGAGUUUGUAACACCCGAAGCCGGUGGCGUAACCCUUUUAGGGAGCGAGCCGUCUAAGGUGGGA